GAUGAACGCUGGCGGCGUGCCUAAUACAUGCAAGUCGAGCGAACAGACGAGGAGCUUGCUCCGCUGACGUUAGCGGCGGACGGGUGAGUAACACGUGGAUAACCCACCUAUAAGACUGGGAUAACUUCGGGAAACCGGAGCUAAUACCGGAUAAUAUAUUCAACCGCAUGGUUCAAUAGUGAAAUACGGUUUUGCUGUCACUUAUAGAUAGAUACGCGACGGAUUAGCUAGUUGGUAAGGUAACGGCUUACCACGGCAACGAUGCGUAACCGACCUGAGAGCGUGAUGUGCCACACCGGAACUGAGACACGGCCCCGACGCCUACGGGAGGCAGCAGUAGGGAAUCUUCCGGAAUGGGCGGAAGCCUGACGGAGCAACGCCGCGUGCGUGAUGAAGGUCUUCGGAUCGUAAGACUAUGUUAUUAGGGAAGAACAAAUGUGUAAGUAACUAUGCACGUCUUGACGGUACCUAAGCAGAAAGCCACGGCUAACUACGUG
rnacentral:rRNA from 1 species